UACGUAGGGUGCGAGCGUUGUCCGGAAUUAUUGGGCGUAAAGAGCUUGUAGGCGGUUUGUCGCGUCUGCUGUGAAAAUCCGGGGCUCAACCCCGGACUUGCAGUGGGUACGGGCAGACUAGAGUGUGGUAGGGGAGACUGGAAUUCCUGGUGUAGCGGUGAAAUGCGCAGAUAUCAGGAGGAACACCGGUGGCGAAGGCGGGGUCUCUGGGCAACAACUGACGCUGAGGAGCGAAAGCGUGGGGAGCGAACAGG
rnacentral:rRNA from 1 species